AUGGAAUACCAGCCCAUUAUCUCGGCGCUCGAUGCAAGGACAGAACCGGUCUCCGUCAACAUCCUCUUCUCCAUGGUAGCAAACUUCGAUCAGCAGGUCGAGAUGUUCCAUGGAACAAACGCCGGAUCCUUCAAGUCAUCGGCGAAUACUGCAUCUCGUGGUCGU
rnacentral:rRNA from 1 species